UAUCACAGCCUGCUUAGAUCGGC
rnacentral:miRNA from 1 species